rnacentral:rRNA from 1 species
GGGGGGGGGGGUGCUAUACAUGCAGUCGAACGCUUCUUUUUCCACCGGAGCUUGCUCCACCGGAAAAAGAGGAGUGGCGAACGGGUGAGUAACACGUGGGUAACCUGCCCAUCAGAAGGGGAUAACACUUGGAAACAGGUGCUAAUACCGUAUAACAAUCAAAACCGCAUGGUUUUGAUUUGAAAGGCGCUUUCGGGUGUCGCUGAUGGAUGGACCCGCGGUGCAUUAGCUAGUUGGUGAGGUAACGGCUCACCAAGGCCACGAUGCAUAGCCGACCUGAGAGGGUGAUCGGCCACAUUGGGACUGAGACACGGCCCAAACUCCUACGGGAGGCAGCAGUAGGGAAUCUUCGGCAAUGGACGAAAGUCUGACCGAGCAACGCCGCGUGAGUGAAGAAGGUUUUCGGAUCGUAAAACUCUGUUGUUAGAGAAGAACAAGGAUGAGAGUAACUGUUCAUCCCUUGACGGUAUCUAACCAGAAAGCCACGGCUAACUACGUGCCAGCAGCCGCGGUAAUACGUAGGUGGCAAGCGUUGUCCGGAUUUAUUGGGCGUAAAGCGAGCGCAGGCGGUUUCUUAAGUCUGAUGUGAAAGCCCCCGGCUCAACCGGGGAGGGUCAUUGGAAACUGGGAGACUUGAGUGCAGAAGAGGAGAGUGGAAUUCCAUGUGUAGCGGUGAAAUGCGUAGAUAUAUGGAGGAACACCAGUGGCGAAGGCGGCUCUCUGGUCUGUAACUGACGCUGAGGCUCGAAAGCGUGGGGAGCAAACAGGAUUAGAUACCCUGGUAGUCCACGCCGUAAACGAUGAGUGCUAAGUGUUGGAGGGUUUCCGCCCUUCAGUGCUGCAGCUAACGCAUUAAGCACUCCGCCUGGGGAGUACGACCGCAAGGUUGAAACUCAAAGGAAUUGACGGGGGCCCGCACAAGCGGUGGAGCAUGUGGUUUAAUUCGAAGCAACGCGAAGAACCUUACCAGGUCUUGACAUCCUUUGACCAACUUCUAGA